rnacentral:rRNA from 1 species
GAUCAUGGUCAGGAUGAACGCUAGCGACAGGCUUAACACAUGCAAGUCGAGGGGCAUCAUGAGGUAGCAAUACCUUGAUGGCGACCGGCGCACGGGUGAGUAACGCGUAUGCAACCUGCCUGAUACCGGGGUAUAGCCCAUGGAAACGUGGAUUAACACCCCAUAGUACUUUUAUCCUGCAUGGGAUGUGAGUUAAAUGUUCAAGGUAUCGGAUGGGCAUGCGUCCUAUUAG